ACGCCCGUGGAGGAGAAGGCUCAGUUCUGGUUCGGCUCCUCUAUAUAAAGGCUGGGCCUCACCCCGCAGAGCAGAGUCGAUCGAGAGAAGAAGAAGGUCGAGUGAGUGGAUCGAUUAGGAAGAGAAAAGAUGGGGAAGCAGCUGCCCCUGUGCAUGGUUUUCCUGAUGGCCUUCCUCAUCGUCUUUGCCAUGCCCUUUGUCCCUGCAGAGGCAGGGAGAGGGCUGGGGCAGGCGAGUAUUGGAACUGGAGCUGGACCAACGAUGCCAGGCAGGACGCCUUCUGUGCCUGGUGGCCAGCCAAACGACGGCAGUGGCAGUGGCACUUUUUGCACAAAUUUCUCCGGAUGUAGCAACCCACCUCCUGGAGCGCCCUGAGCUAGCUAGUCUUGCUGGUCCAACGAAUUCCCAUACCCAAACUCGGCUAGUCUGGAUAAUGUGGUGGUGCAGAGCGUGUGCAUCUGAGACUAUAUUCUCGGUGUAGAAUAAGGCAUGCAUGCAGCUCAUCCUACGUACGUAUAGUAAGUACAUGGGUGCUAAUGAGAUGGGGAAUAAAAGUCUAGCUAGCUGAAUGUCAUGGCGUCUUCUGCUGCGCAUAUAGUGUCAUGUAUAUGUAUAUAUGUGCCUAGCUAAAUCCAGGGAUGUUCCGAGGCAUGCAAGAUACGAUAAGUGUUAAGUUCAAGACAUUUUCGUGGUCCUGUAACAUGGUUCUUAUUUCAUGAAUCAAAUGAAUGGUACCAUGAAGUAGUA